ensembl:lncRNA
UAUGAAGAUGAGCAUGAAUGCAUAGGAUAUGCAGUUCUUCCAAAUAUGGAUAUUAAAGAUGCAUAAUGAUUUUUUUCAUUAUUCUGCCAAGUAUCAUAUGCAGUGAAGUUAAGACACAUCAUUCCCUGGAAGUGACUACCAUAGUAUCUGCUGUUGUGUUUAUUUAUUUUUUAACCAAUUCACAUCCUGGUGGUAUUUGUUAGGUAUACAAAGACUGAAAAACUACUGCGAUGGCCUCAUGCCUUGUUUUUCUCCUUUAGAAGAUGUUUUUUCUCCUUUAGAUGAUUUUUUUCUCCUUUAGAAGAGUGUACUUCCUUUCUCAUUGGUGAAACAUCUAUUAAUAGUAAUUCUCAUCUUCCCUGAGAACCCUCAUCUGUAUAAUGUGCUAGUUUUUACCCAGGAACACUGCAUUAUAAAGCAUUUAAAGCCACUAGGGAGUUACGGCUUACUAUUUUGGAAACCAAACAGAACUAUUCUCAGCUUUGUGAUCAUUGUCAGGCAAGUCAGCAUUUGUUCCCUGGGCUGCUCAGAGACUGAGUGCAUGAACAGCAAAAUAGUGUCGUGUUCCAUAUUUUGAGAGCUUGACCUGUUGCUGGGACCCAAGGGCACAGAAAAAGAGUAUGUGAGUGAAGAAAAACAGGAACACCACUCUGUAGCCGGUCUAGCUGGAAAGUCCUUUGAGGUAGCAGGAGACUGGGUUUUAUCCUACAGAACUCUGCUAAGCAGAUCCCUGAAGAGGCC